CUCCUCCUGGUACAAUCCACUGGUCCGGGUGCCGACUGCUGCUCACCAGCAACACCUGCAAAGGUACAGCCUUCAGCCGCACCUGCCAAGGUGAGGUGGGUCCGUGACGGGCAAAGCUGCCAUUGGAAGAACCCCCAGCUCAGCUCUGUGCCAAUCACCAGGCUUUGCAAAAGUACUGGCUCAGCAGUUGCCUUUCUGCAUGAAAACCACAACAGCUUAGCAGAGCAGCUGAAUGACCAGUCCUGAUCCAAUCCACACCAGUGUGAAGGCCUUGUUGUCAUGAAGUUUCAGCAGUCACCGUUACAUAUGAGCCUGGCAUCCACUGAUUUCGCUAUGUUUCACCGUUGUUUCACUUGAACUGAAACAAUGGUGAGUGCAGCAUUCAGCCUGGCUUAACCAAGCUACCUACUUAUGGUAAAACAGCUCAAUUUAGCAGGGCGA